rnacentral:lncRNA from 1 species
GAACAAGAACUUAACAAGCUGCGUACUCCAAUCACAAAAGAUUUCUUCAAAUUCGAGUACCUUGUGUUCUCCAUUUUCAGCAAUGACAGGAGACUGAAAAUGAGGUGAGGUCAGAAUUUUGAUUUUUAUAAAGCUUCGGCUUUAUAUAUAUUUGGUCAGAAUUAUUGGAUUUGCAGGUUUGGACCAGUUUUUGACGCCCUUUCAAACGUAAUUAAUUAAGGAGAUAUUUCAAAGAAGUAGGAGGAGAGAGGACGGCCGGACAGAGUAGGGGGGAGAAAGGCGUC